rnacentral:lncRNA from 1 species
UUUUGAGUCCUGAUUUUUCUUUAUAAGUUAUCCAUGAAAUUGACCAAUAUGAGUCAAAAUAUUUAUAUCAAAUGUUUUCCGAACUCUUAUAUAAAAAGAGUUUAUUGGAAAAAUAUAUGACAUUUAUAUUUAAAAUUUAUAGAUUAUAUAUUAUGCACUCAAUAAUGCAUUCAAAUUUCAAAGUUUUACUACUUUGUCAUCGUUUCAUUUUGUCUUAAUUAAAAUUAGUUUUGGCUUAGUUAAAAACAAGUUCAUGGCCUAAGAAAA